AAAUCAUAAAUCAGAUGCAAAAUAGCAUUCACCAGCUAAUCAGCUGUAAAACGGCAAAGAUUAAAGCAAAUCAGCUCUAAAAUAACUGCAUCGAUAACAGCCGUUUUAGAGCUGAUUACCAGCUGCCACUAGCAACACUGUUGCAAAUUGUCAAAAAACUGGCAACACGUCUGUCGUGUUGACCGAGAGUGAAAGAGUGCGACUGAGAAAGAAAAACAAAACGGUAAAAAACUCUCGCUCACUCCUAGAUCAACAAAACCAAAAUAAUCAUGGUGAUGGAAAUUUGGAUUCGGGUAAAUUACUGCUGGAGUCUGUUUUUCUUCUAACUUUCGAUGCAUCAAACAAUGUAUUUGCCCUCCAACGUGGAAAACAGCGGCCGUUCCGGACCAUCAGCAAUUGGCAGGUGAAUUUUCAAUUUCAAGGCUGCAGCUGCUGCAGACUUGACCGGAAUUGAACGUUGGAAUGCAGACUUGAUGGGCUUGCGGUGCUCCGGCUGAAGGUUCAGGUGUAGGAAAUUUCGAUGAACAAAUGAUUAAAUAAUAUCAAUAAAAGUACUUAAGUCAAA